rnacentral:lncRNA from 1 species
GCUUAGAGAACAGGAAGUGGGAGCCACAUACCCCGAGCUGGCGGCUUGAGCCUGUGGUAUCUAGGCUCACCUCACUGCGGUUGGUGGAGGUGAUGGAGGUUGCAGCUUGGCCAGCAUGGUAGAAAGGUGGCAGGGUAGACUCUAGAUUCUAGAGGGCAACCUCUGUUUGCUCAUGCUGGAGCGUGGCAGGUGCACAAUGUUUCCUUGGGAAUCCUCAGCAGGGCACGUCUGGCUUUUACCACCCAGUUGCUUCGAGCCAGGAGAUGGAGGAGUCAUCUGUUGCACGCUGGAGGCUGGAGCCUGCAGAUGGCAUGGUUCUGUGGCUCACCUCGCUGCAGUUGGUGGCAGAGACAGAGACUGCAGCUUGACCAGAGUGGUGGAGUGAUAUGUAUCUCAAGAGCACUCCACAACAAAGAUUCUGCCUGCAAUCCUCCACUUCAAGUGAUUCCCUAAGGUCCACAAAGAACGCAAGAGGCAGCAAUGAAAGCUGUGCUAAGUGACAAUGUGGCCAAGACAUAAGCAGAGUAGAUGCUCAUAGAAGGCACCAAUUCAAGAGGAAGCCCGCUGCUCAUAGUGAUACUUCCCUGCCCACGUUUCUGUACACUUGGGCAGUGCAGCACCUCUUCUAUAGUGUCUCUUAUUUUUCACUUCUUGACACACGGUCGCAUUGUUGUUGUUGUUGUUUUGACAACAGGUUUAGCCUUGGGACUUGCUUCUAAAUGUAAGCAGCAGUGAUUUGUGAAGUGUGACAAACUGGGACUCAAUUCUCCAUGUUGUCUUGUUAGUUAUGACCUUGAAAGCUUUUUUCCACAUGGAUCUUCAAAUAGAUACAGUGAGUAAAGUCUUCUAGUAACUUGCAUGGCCAUGUAAAAGAAAUAACCUUUCACUGGAUUAAACCAGUGAUAAUAUGUGAAAGCUAUAAGAAGUAUCCUAGGUGAAAAGUGUAUAUUCACGUCAGACAUGAGAUAAAUGCUCAAUAAAUGUGUUUUCUCACUCAUAAUCCAAGCAACAUAUUUCAUUUCAAAGCAAGAGAGGACUUUAGACAGCAAUUCUAGCUCUU